rnacentral:rRNA from 1 species
AACGCGAAGAACCUUACCUGGGUUGGAACCCCCCGGAACCUUCCAGAGAUGGAGGGGUGCCCGCAAGGGAAUCGGGUGUCCAGGUGCUGCAUGGCUGUCGUCAGCUCGUGUCGUGAGAUGUUGGGUUAAGUCCCGCAACGAGCGCAACCCUUGUCGUUAGUUGCCAGCGGUUCGGCCGGGCACUCUAACGAGACUGCCGGUGUUAAACCGGAGGAAGGUGGGGAUGACGUCAAGUCCUCAUGGCCCUUAUGCCCAGGGCUACACACGUGCUACAAUGACCGGUACAAAGGGUUGCUAACCCGUGAGGGUACGCUAAUCCCAAAAAACCGGCCUCAGUUCAGAUUGAAGUCUGCAACUCGACUUCAUGAAGUUGGAAUCGCUAGUAAUCCCUGAUCAGCAGGCAGGGGUGAAUACGUUCCCGGGCCUUGUACACACCGUAGAGAC